GAUAUAUCAAGCAGUCUGUUGCCUCGAAUGUUACAUUCGCAGAGGGAAAUUUGACGAAGCUUUGAACGACAGGACUAGAAGAGGUCAGUGCAACGUUCAAGACCAAAACGAAAAGCAGACGCAAUGAAGUUCGACAUGGCUUUGACGUUACUUCUGUUGGCUCUUGUACCGUUUGUUGACGGCGGCGGUUCAUCUCCCGAGCGUAAUAACAGACGAUCAGAAGCCGUUGUGCAUGCAUGAGGGACACCGCACCACAGUAUUGUUUUGUUUGUUCUACAAUAACAAAACUAACCUCUACAAUAAUAGUUGCGAAUACGAUACCAACGCUGAUGCCGUAAUAGCUGAGUCUUACUGGAGUGGAAGCCGGAAACGGGGAUGUAGAAGUUCACAAUAUAACCAUAGUAUUUGUGCCUGCACGCCGUGGUUAUAGGAGAGCUUGGAUCUUUACAACGCCAUGCAUUUUCAAUGGUGAUGGAAGUAGAUGGCGAGAAAAUAAAAGAUUGUAAAAGUG